AUUAUUUACUGUUUGAAUGAUGUUGGCAACAAACACGCUAUUUGCUUCUUAGCAAUUUGAACUUUAGGAUUCAUGAAUUUUUUGGCAAAUGUAGAUUUUGCUUUUAUUGCUAAGGCUGCAUUUUAGAGUGCAUGUUUCUAUUGUUUGUAGUCCUUAUAGAUAUGUACUUGUCAUAUCUCCACGCUUUAAAAAGCAACUCUUCACACGCUCAAGUAGAAGAUGCUUUUGACUAUAUUUGACAUAACUGCUAUAGUCAAGGAAGCGAUGGAAAAGAAUCUUACUUAAUGUCAAACAUGACCAUUCUAUUAUUGACCAUAUUGAUGUAGUCCCCCUAAUUAAUUUCUUGUCAAUGUAAAAUGCACCAUGAUUUUCUUUCCUUUUUCCUUUUCUUUUACCUAUUCUCUAUGGGAUGGCAACGAAAGAGUACUAAUUGUUUGGUACACUUGUUGUGCUUUUGAUGCAUCUAGCCAACAAAAAAUGUGUAGCCAUUAAGAAAAGGAUUAAAAAAAAAAAAAAACUAGGAUUCUUAGUGCAGCGAAGUUUAGCCUCAAGGCUAAUGAAGAGUUGAGAAAUAGUUUUUCCUCAGCACCUAAUUUGAAUUUUGAUAAUGAAUUUGUUAUACUUUGGUCAAUUAUGAGCAUGUCUGAUAUCAACGAACUUUUUGCAAAUUCUUUUUUUUUGUCGAGUUGUUCAUAGCUUUUGUGGGUGCUUACAAGGAUGAGCAAUUUUCACACGUAUUGUGGGAGUUUUCAAUUGUAUUGUUUCAUCUAUUCGCCAGCUCACUGAACUCGGUGGGAGUUUGUUUCUUGAAACUAUGAUUGAACAAAUACACGGUACCUAUUGAUCAGUGAUCUUGCAUGCAAGUCCAAUGUAGCCCUUCUUUUUCCAGUGGUUAAUGCUGACCGGAGUUGAAGCAUGCUCUUACAGUAUUUGAGACUUUGAGUUGCAGUCUAUGUAUGUGACUGGAACAGAGAUGCUAAGAGGAAACUGGUGGUAAAAAAUGGACUGAAUGAUCUAUGAUAGCCAACCGUUUAAUGUUCUAAUUAGGAAAGGAUGAGAGUUUCUAAGGCAGUUUUCCUAAAAAAGGAAUCAAAUUUUUAUUUGCAGCAGAUUACCAGAAGCUGAAUUCUAUCGUUGGGGAGCAGGACUCGUGUGUGACACUGGCAACUAAGUGCAUUAAAUGCUAAUCCCACUUGGUUGUGGGCAGAGUUGUGUGAUAGCACAUCUGACUUUUGUAUUUAAAUCUUUCUAAUCAAGAGAAGAUUACUGCAUUUUACAUGUAAGUGGGGAUUUCCCGAAGGAAAAAGGUGGGAAUGGGAAUCAUCUACCUCG